rnacentral:tRNA from 1 species
GAGGGUACUGGUUGUAGGACGACGGUUCAAGGUGGGUUCGAAUCCCAUAAAUAACUCUGGAAGAGUAGUUUGGGAGUUCAAUUCUCCCCGCCUUCAC